AAGACUAUAGACCUGCGGAGUACCUGCGGAAGGAUCAUUACCGAGUUUACAACUCCCAAACCCAAUGUGAACGUUACCAAACUGUUGCCUCGGCGGGAUCUCUGCCCCGGGUGCGUCGCAGCCCCGGACCAAGGCGCCCGCCGGAGGACCAACCAAAAACUCUUUUUGUAUACCCCCUCGCGGGUUUUUAUAUAUCUGAGCCUUUCUCGGCGCCCCUUCGUGGGCGUUUCGAAAAUGAAU
rnacentral:misc_RNA from 1 species